GAUGAACGCUGGCGGCGUGCCUAAUACAUGCAAGUCGAGCGAACCAAAGAGAGCUUGCUCUCUGAGGUUAGCGGCGGACGGGUGAGUAACACGUGGGUAACCUGCCUGUAAGACGGGGAUAACUUCGGGAAACCGAAGCUAAUACCGGAUGAUAAAGAGAAACGCCUGUUUCUUUUUUGAAAGUCGGCCUUGUGCUGACGCUUACAGAUGGGCCCGCGGCGCAUUAGCUAGUUGGUGAGGUAACGGCUCACCAAGGCGACGAUGCGUAGCCGACCUGAGAGGGUGAUCGGCCACACUGGGACUGAGACACGGCCCAGACUCCUACGGGAGGCAGCAGUAGGGAAUCUUCGGCAAUGGACGAAAGUCUGACCGAGCAACGCCGCGUGAGCGAUGAAGGCCUUCGGGUCGUAAAGCUCUGUUGUCAGAGAAGAACAAGUACCGGAGUAACUGCCGGUACCUUGACGGUACCUGACCAGAAAGCCACGGCUAACUACAUGCCAGCAGCCGCGGUAACAC
rnacentral:rRNA from 1 species